AUCGCUUCUCAGCCUUUUGGCUAUGAUCAUGUGUAGUUCUUUUCUUGUCCGUUUUAAUAUCUGAUAUACUGUAUACCUGAGUAAGGGACUGAAUAAUAAGGUGAUUUUUGCAGGAAGGAGUUGGGUUAGGAGCUUGCUCCAUCAACUUCGCACAUUGUCCUGGUAUUGCAGUAUUUCUGGGAAUGGUGCACCCCUC